rnacentral:lncRNA from 1 species
CGCUCAAAGAGCUACACGUUGCCAAGUCAUGAUUUCUAUAGGAACUGAGCAAGUGUCCUCAGCUGAUUCUUCCCUUUCAGAGGGCUCUGAAGAAGAGCACGGACAAUGGCUUAAGAGCUGUAUCUGAUUUCCACCUUCCGUGACAGGAGCCCCUGUGCUGGAGGAGCCAGGGCAGAAGGGACAGGGCCCGUCCACCCAGCCAUCUCAGGGAAGGAGGAGGGCGCCAGGCCCCGCGCUGCCGCGAGGGUUCAAGUUCAAUGUCUGCACAGCCCUGCCUGCCCCAGCCCCCAGACCUGCGUCCUGGGCGAGUCUCCUGCCCUGUGGGUGCCUUGGCUUCCUCUCACAGGGGACGGGGAAUAGGCGGGGCAGCGCUCAGCAAAGGCUAACGGUGAAGAGGACUGGAGGAAUAAGGGGGAGACUGACAUGAUGAGGAGAGAUGGCAGUGACAGAGCGCUGAAGGAGAAGGGGCGGGCAGUCCAGAAGGUGACAAGGGAGACGUGCCCUGGGGCUCCCACUCGACUGUGACCUGUCCUCAUGUGCGGCAGUGGCCCAUCCUGCGUCCUCUUCACCCCCAUGUCCAGCAUCUUCUUGCCAGCCCAGCCAGACGGGAGCUGGUAUUGCAGAUUGGAGCCUCGGUGCAAAUCUGGGCAGUGAAUGAAUGGGCUACUCUCCCCUCGGAGUGUAAGCCGGAGUGGGGACGACGAAGACCCGGCGACCCCAUGCAGACCCAUUUUCCAGAUGAGGCAGAGAGGGUCUUCCUACGUUGUUCAGGCUGGCCUUGAACUUGUGGAAAUCCUCCUGUCUCGGCCUCUUGAGUACUGGGAUUACAGGCAUGUGCCACCAUGCCUGGCUGAAACACCAUUUAUUGAUCAUUCACUUUAAAAAAACACACCGGUGAAAACAGGACACUUUGAGCCUCACUAUCCCCUGCAGGACAGAAAGAUGCCCUGGCUUCCUCAUCACUCUAUGGCUGCAUGUUUAUAGCCAUUAAGUUGUGAGCUUCUUGUUGAUGAAUCUUCUGGCCAGUUUCCUUUCCCUUGUCAGAGGUGACAAAACAUGCAGACAGAGUGAUGAGGAAGCCAGGGCACUGACAAACGCCUAUGCCUGGCCGACACCACUGUCCUUACACCUUGAAGUUACCUUUGGGACUGAUUAUGUUCUUUCACCAGAGCUCUGUGUAUCCCACGGCACAAACUCUAAAACCCAUGUGCAGUUUCUGAGUUCCAGUAUAAAAGUCUGUUUCAGGACCAGCUCAGUUGCUUUAGUGUUUAUACCUCUGCCUUGUCCCUUGUCCACUGGGUGUCACACGCUGGACAGGCUGGUCAGGUAGUGGCACAAAGCAGG